rnacentral:lncRNA from 1 species
CUCUCCAUUUAUAACAAUGAGCAAAAAAUAAAACAGUAUCUCAUCACAUUUGAGAAUGACUGACAUUAAUUUGAUGUCUGCACCACCACAACAUUUGAGAAUAAAGAAAGAGAACCUCCUCAACGACUGAUGUACACCCACAUUUGGGCUUGUUGAAGGAUAAGAACUUGCCUUGAGCUUCCAUCCAUCUUUUAUUUUCCACACAAUUGAGAAUACAUAACUGAAAACCCUUGAAGCUGACCCGAAACCCCUAGCUUUCAAUCCCAAAAAACCCAAAGCAAACUAAACUGGAGGAUCAGUGUGUCCCGCCGCGAGCUGCCAGUAUUAGAGGGGAUACAAGUACCGGUACGCUAGUGUAAUAUAGCGAAAUUUAAAAUCGAAUAGGACAAAUUUAUUUCUGAUAACAGAAAGUCAGAAACAAUACAAUCCAAAAUUUCGGGGAAGAAUAAUAUCAGAAGAAACCAUACACAAAAUUAACACCAAAAGUACUAGAAAUGCAAGAGGGGGCAACCCGGCGAGGGUGAUCAUGGGUUCAUCCACCACUCCAAGGGUUCAUCUGGCCAGUGGAUGGUAAGGUUAUGCAUAUCCAAAUUGUCGAGGGCAGCGAGAUCCGAGUUCACGUUGGCAAAGGUAGUGCAUCCUCUAAAGUCCAGCUUUAUACUACUCAUACCGUAGUAGUAGGGUAGAUCCAUCGCAACAGAAAGUCUUUCAAUUUUCUACAGGUUGUGUACUUUGAGAAAUGCUUCUUCCUAGAAGUUCACCAAAUUCAGUGGCCAGUGGGGUUCACUUUAUUCCACUACUUUAAUUUGUUCCCUUUUUCUUAUAUUCUUCCUAAUGGUUACCUGGAAGCUCACCCCCACAACAACUGUGAAUCAGUCAAUCAGAAAGAAGACUUCUCAAUUUGAAAGUCGACUUAACUACGAUGCUUUAGGCCAUUUUUAUUUAAAAAUAAUUUAACAAUUUAUAAUAAAAAAUUUAUCGAUCACAUCACAUCAACAAUUUUAACAAUUAACUCAUUUAAUAAUUUUCGAAUACACUAAUCUCUGCAAUUCCUUAAUAAUUUCUAUUGAUAAAAUCUACACUAUAAUUUACUUUUGAAAUUUUUAUUUUAUUAAUUUAUCCUUACAAAAUUAACUCUACUUCAAUUUUUAACAAAAUUUUUAAAUUAACAAUUACUCGCAUCCAACAAUUGUGUUAAAGAAAUGUCACCUCAUCAUCUAUCUCAUUUUAUCAAUUACUAAAAUUUAAUGAUGAAGAUGCCGUUAAAUCCGUAACUAACAUAAUUAACAUAAUAUUUUAACGUGUUUCAAUAAAUUUAGUGGGCUCUUGCCAAAAUUAUUUUGAGUGAAAUAGUUAACAGGUCAGUAAUUUUGGAAGGAAUUACGUAUGCAUACUUUUCUUCUACUUCGUGUUGUUUCUCACGCAUGUUUUUACAUUUUACCAAACGGUUCUCUGUCAUCUCUGAAAGAUGAGUUCAGAAUGGCUGAUGGUUUGGGUUUAAAUUAUGAUUCUUGACAGUUAUAUCUUGGGAAAUCAUCAAACGUUUAGUCAGGUUAAUGGUUUACAAAAUCAACAUGUCGACGCAUUCAAACUAAGUUACGUGCCCAAUUGAAUACCAUAUCGUUAAUUUGGGAUUAGCGAAUGACUUUAUAAGUUUUUACACAUUGAAGAUGAGUUUUACACAUUGAGUUGUAACAAACUAUAACAAUGUUUUGUACUUACAUGACGAUAUUUUGUACUUUGUAUGUUCAGAGAGCACACAAAUAAACGACUAAUUAUUGAUCAGUUAUAUUUUACUCGUUGUUUAUUUUUCUUUUGUGUAUUUAUGUGUUCAUAACAUACCAAUAACACAGAAAUGAUAGACAGAUAGUAUAUCAACACAAAGUACAUUGAUAACAAAGCAAAAGAGCUCAAACAAAAAUCAAAGUUACAACAACGGACAAAGAAGAGCUAGUGGCUCCACAAGUAACGUGUUGGCUUGGAGACCAAGUUCGUCUCGAUCUCCUCCUCGGGUUCAUUCGGCCGAUGGAUGAUUACUUCAAGUUUUCCGAGAUCCCCUCCCCUCGGUUCUUUGAGGGGAGAAAGAUCAGAUUCGACGUUGAUGAAGUUUGUGCAUCCUCUCAAGUCCAACUCCAUACGAUACAUAGUCGACAAUGGAAGAUACGCGACGGACAAUCUUUCCAACGACUUGCAUCUACUCACUUUUAACUGUUUCAACAUCUUCAACUCUCCAAGUCCUUCAAUCUCUCGCAAACUCGGAAGGUCUCGCAAGCUCAAGUAGCUCAGGUUGAUCAGCUUCGACAGCGAAGGCAGUCUCUGUACUUUCGGUAAAUGAUGUACCGUUAGCGAAACCAACUCUUCGAGAUUCUCGAGCCCUUCCAGCAGCUGGUAUUGCUGGCUGGCUGCCUUCUUGCUGAUGUUCACAUGGAUUCCCUCAAUUCUGAACACCUUAAUUUUUGGAUACUUGGACAGUCUUGGUAUCGAUCUACCGUCCACGGAUUGGCAUCCGUGGAUUUCGAUAUUGAGUAGAGACUCGAUUCGUACUAAAUCGGUCUCUCUUCCAUCAUCAAAUGUUAAAACUGCACGAAGAAGUGGACAUUUGUUUAUCUCCAAAUUUGUCAACCGGCAGCUAGAAGAAGACAUUAGAUUUCCAAGGCCAUUGAUGGAUGUUAAGUUUCCGGCAUUGACUAUUCGGAGAAUCUGCAACGAUGUCAUCCCUCCAAGGCUGUGAAUCUCUUUAAGAUUGGGGCAAUCCUUGACUUCCAAUUCAGUCAGGUUCCCAAGAUUCUUUAAAUUCGGAAGCUGCUCUGAAUCUAGAUACCAAAUUUGCAGCUUGGUAAGGGAUGAUGGUAGCAUGGUGAGCUUACUAUCAUCCAUAACUAUCCUCUUUAUGGACUGGAGCUUCAUGGAUUUCAACUUGGACGAAUUAAUCCACGGAAUAAUUGUACUUUCGUCCCCUCUACUGUCGAAGGAUUGAGGGAUCACAAGCUCUGUCGUCUUCAUGCUGCUUCCGAUGAUAACGAUUUGCUCCAACGCCAUCAGCUCCUGAAUGUUAGCAAAACCGGAUUGAGUGAGCAGAUACUUCAAGCUUUUAGGUAGCUUUAUCCCUUUCAAAACAUCCGCCAGAUAAUGACUUCUGACAUUCAAGAUUUCGAGAGAUGACAGCUCCCCGAUAUCGGCAAUAACGUCUCUGAAACUAUUGAAAUUGCAAUUAAUGUUGUGGAGAUUCAGCUCCCGAAGCUCCUUCAUCAUCCCCAUGGUUCCACCUUUGAUCUUUCGUAGCUCGCAAGAAACUAACUUGAGUACUUUUAUGUUCCGCAGUUUCUCAAUAUUCAUAUCUUCCUCUUUGUUCUUGAAAUGAUCGAUGCGUAACACCUCCAAGCUUCCCGAUUCAGGAAAUUCUGGAAGUUUACUCAUAUUGCUACAAUUGGGAAGGAGUAGAACUUUUAACUUAUUUGCCUCCUGCAUUUGUGUAUGAACCAAGUUAGUGAAAACUCAACAAGAAAUGUGUAACACUUAAUUCAUACAACUAAAAAAACAAACCUUAGUUUGGAUGCAGUCAUCUCCCAGUCCUUGGACAUUAACAUCAAAUAUGACAAUCUUUUUCAUAUUCAAGUUUGGUAUUCCAUUGUGAUUUUGCAGUUGCAUCCAUUUUAAGUCUGGAAGAAGAUUACUGAAAUCUCCAUUCAACCUCGCUUUCCCUGCAUCAAAAUAUCUCAACUCCGACAACUUGGGAAAACAUGCACUAUCUAGCUCUGGAACAUCAUCACUUCCCGAGUUCACUCUAAUGCCUUCAACUUUAUCCUUACACUGUAUAACAAGAAUAAAAAUAGUCAAUUACUUUCAAGCUUACUACAGAACAUGGCAAUUAAACAAUAUACCUUGUUUAUUAGCUCGAUAACUUCAUCAUCUGGCCAUAUCCUGCUUCUAUUGCAUGGUUUUUCUCGACGGACAAUUUCUCUGCCCAUAUCUCUAAUUAGAUCAUGCAUCUGAAACUCAUUACGGUCCCCAAUUUUGAGCAUACAUCUCUGAACCAGCGCACUGAUGUUACUGAUAGGAGAACUGUUGCAAUCUUUCCACAUGUAAGACGCCGUUUCUUGAUCUUUCCCAAUGAGGAAACAAGCUAUAUCCAAGAAUAUUUCUUGUGCUUGACGUCCUAUAUGGCGUCCUAAAUCAAGAUAGCUAAUUUCCAAGCUAUCCAUUACACCUUUAUCUGGCUGUCGUCUCUGUAACUGCUCAAGUUUUUCUUUCCAAACAGCCAUUCUUUCGUCGUAGAGACUUGACCCUACAAUUUGAAGUGCCAGUGGAAGAUUUCCUGUUUUUGAUACUAUCUCUUUAGAUAUGCCCUCAAAACCCUGGUCAGCAGAAUCCUUUUGGAAUGCAUGCUUGUAGAACAAUUGAAGCGAGUGAUAAUCAUCCAACCCUUGAACGUCAUACAACUUAUCUUCGUCUUUAAUUGUCUUCCCCAAAACUUUUAUGUUUCUAGAUGUCAUGAUAAACCGACUUCCUGCCUUGAAGAUUUUUGGAUCUCCUAUGACUUCCUUAAAGUUGAACUUUUCAUCUACAUCGUCGAGAACCACGAGGAUUUUAUACUUGGAAACUCGAGUUUCUAUGAUAUUUUUUGCGACUGUGACUUCAGUAAUAGGUCUAACUGAAUUUUCCCCUAAGAUAUUGGAGAUAAACUUCUUUUGUAAACCGAGAAUCCCAUCUUUUUGUUGUUGUGCUUCACGUAUAUCCCUAACGAAAAAACUGUGUUCAAAGAGUGAAGCAACCUCGUUAUAGGCCGCAGUGGCAAUUGUGGUCUUGCCAAUACCACCAAGACCGUAGAGGCCAACUAUAUCUACACCUUGAGAUGCUAGAUUUAGCCGAUCUACCACUCGUUUUACUUGGUCUUCGAUCCCAACAAACGCAUUAGUCUUUACCGCAUAGUUAUUCUUAAUUAAAUGUGACCAUACAGCUCCAGAAACAACAUCAGCUACAGCUACCUCCCUGUACGAAACAAAAUUCUUUUGCAACUUCAGGAAAUCAUUGCCAAGGAAUUCGAAGGAUUUCGGCGGAGUCCUUACAUUAAAAGUUUGAAAUUUCAUGUUCUUUCUAGCUCUAGGAUAAUGAAUCUAGAAAAAAAAAACGAAUACGUAACGACUAAAAGAAGGGUUAUGGUGACAUACUCUGUUUUAUUUUUGACGUGCCAUCCUUUCAACGUUCCAAUCUCAUUCAUGGCCACUCUCCAACGUUCCAAUUCCUUCUCAUCGAUCUUUUUUCUCUUAUGCUCAUCAAAGGCCUUCUUAUAAUCAUCCCCGGUCUGAUGGCGUACGUCUCCGGGGUCAACCAGGUAGAAAAUCGGAAGCAUGAUGUGACCUUUCUCUCGCUUCCGGUGCUCGUUGAGCUCAACAAGUUCCUUAAGGCAGUACUUGCUCUCACAAUAACGGGGCGAGAAGAUGGGAAUAGAAAUCUGCGACUGGUGGAUGGCUUUAACGAGGUUGGGCCAUAUUGCUUCUCCCUUACGGAGUUCUUCCUCGUCUCUGAACGUGCGGAUUUUGGAGCGAGCGAGAAAGCGAUAGAGAGUAUCAGUAAUAUAAUCACGUGUAUCCGGUCCUCUGAAGUUCAGAAACACCUCAUACUCCCCGAUCGGAAGUGGCUCCGUAGAUGUUAUCGAAUACGACUGUUGUUGAGAAGGUUCCAUCCCGAUCGCUACGAUGAAUGUCUGAAGCAAGAAAAGGGAAAGAAUCGAUCGAUGCUCAAUUGCUCAAUAGAUUUUGGUUUCUGCUAUAAUGAAUGAUUGAAACUAGUCUCUGUAUAUGUAGAAGAAGGAGAGACGACUUCAGCUACUACACAAAGUCUUCUUUCUUUGGCUUCACAUGCUCUCACACGUUACCAACCAUUUAUUUUCGGUUGAUCUGAUUAAUUUAUGAAAGGGAAAUUAUACAUUUCCAUUAUACCUACAAUGAAAUGUUUUAUUGGGUAAUGUUUCUUGUCUCAUUAUGAGAAAAGUAUAAAGUUUCACUAUUUCCGUACAAAUGCUAUGUUUUUACGUAAAUAAUAUUUACGUAAAUUUAUGUGUAUUCACUUACAUAACGUUAUAACUUAUUUUUUCAUGCAAUUACUUUUUUUGCAAACAAAUAUUAUAUAUUUUUCUUUUACUAGCUAAUAAAAAAUCAGAUUAUGUGUAUGAAUAAAAAUGAAUUUGCAUUAAUAAUUAACAGUUUACAAUUGUAUCAAUUAUUAGAUUAUAUUUAUAUUGUAUUAAUUAGAAUGGUGAUACUUUUUGGCUUUGUGGUCUCAGUCUUUCUUAACAUUUUAUUAGGCCCCAACUUGUAAAUUUGUUUUCUUCUUUCCAUUUCAGAAUCACCUUAUUGAAUAUGGACGGCAGCUGUUGCAAUGUUUGAUUAGGUCUUCUUUGGGUUGUUAAAAAAAUAUCGUAACUAAUCAAUCACUUUCAUUAAAACUCCUAAUAAAAUUCAUUUUUCUUUGUGGAUCAAUCGAUCUCAAGUCACAAACCACGCUAAUUAUUUAUGAUAUUCUAUUGUUAUUCUUUCUUUAUUCAUCCUUUAUCGUACGUUUAUUUAACUACAUUUUCAUCUUUAAAUUUUCACAUUAUGCCAUGCGUUCUGCUUACUCCUUUCAGUUACAGUACUUAUAUUAGCAUGACAUUAUGCCAUGCGUAAGCCUAAACCGCUCCUGCAAGUAAUCUAUCAACGGAUAAGAGACCUCCGCUAGGUGACAGUGAGGAGGAUGAGCUGGAAACAUGACUCAGCACAUAUGGAUUAGGACAUAGUACAGAGUUAGUUAGCAUUCUUGUAAUAUAGUUAAGGAUUUUACAUUUCUGCCACUUUUGGCUUUGUAUAUACAGUGCAGUUGCACCAUUAAUGAAAACUAAGAAUCCUUCUACAUUCUUCACUGUUUCAUCCCUUCUCUCAAUCACCUCCGUUCACAUGGUAUCAGAGCGGUAAGCUCACUCAACGCUUUGAGCUACCACCAUGGCUAACGACGAAGGGAAGGAAGAACCCUCUGGGACGAAAUCAAUCUCCCAAUCGGAAAAACCAAUCCAUUACUACAUCAAUCCAAACGAGAACCUGUCUCAGACAAUCACAGCUGUGAAGCUCGAUGGCACGAACUAUCACCUCUGGAGCAGGUCUAUGCGUUUGGCUCUAAAGGCGAAGAAGAAGUUGGGCUUCAUCAACGGAGAGCUACCAAUGCCUGAGACUGAUGAUGAAGACUUCGACGCCUGGGACCAGAGCAACAACACCGUUGUUACCUGGAUCAUCAACUCUCUUGACAAAGAGAUCUCGGAAGUCGUGAUUGACAACGAUAGUGCCCUGGAGCUCUGGAAGGAGCUGCAAGAGAAAUACGGGGAAGCAGACUCAGUUCGCAUAGCUCAGCUGCGAGCUGAAAUUUCAGCGUGUCGCCAGGGCACCUCCACCGUCACUGAGUAUUAUAAUCGAUUGAAGAACUUGUGGACUGAGUACGUCUCAUUUCGCCCAAUCCCCGCCUGUGAGUGUGGUGGGUCUAGCCACACUGGAACCUGCAAUACUUAUGCAGCAGUAAAAAUCCACCAGGAGAAUGACCAUGUCAUUGAUUUCAUCAUAGGACUGAAUGAUGAACACGAGAAUACCAAGAGCCAGCUCCUUCUAAUGGAUCCGCCUCCUUCCUUGAAGCUUGCCUCGAAGUAUGCCAUGAAGCUGGAACGACAGCAAAAAGGGGGAAUGGGGAAGGAGACCAAAGGCGUCGAAUCCGUCGCUCUUGCUGGCGCCCAAAACAGGGAAUGGAAUCGAAGCAAACCAGGCAAACCAAGCAGCACACCCAAUACCAACCUCUUCUGUCGCUACUGCAAAUACACUAACCACAACAUCGAAGACUGCAUUAGGUUGAAAAAUAAACGGAGGACCGAGGCCUCUGGGAACAACAAUGGUGGGCAAUACCGAAGUGCAAAUGGAGCACUGAACAAUCAUACUGAAACCACCACACACGAGCACAACAACGACGCUCCGUUGCGGUUUUCCGAAGAAAAUGUUGAUGCUUGGAUAAUGGACACUGGUGCAUCAGAUCAUAUGUGUGCUUCUCUGUUGCAUUUUAUAUCUUAUCGACCGGUUCAAAAUGUCAUGAUCACUCUUCCUGACAACUCACAAGUUGAGGCCACACAUGUAGGAUUAGCCAAAACUCCCACUGGCUUGUUGUUGCACGAUGCCCUGCAUAUCCCUUCUUUCUCUUUCAACUUGGUUUCCAUUAGCAAAUUGACUAAGUCCCUGCCUGUCUCUCUCUUGUUUGAAUCCAAUGUAUGCAAAAUUCAGGACCUAGCAACUCAGAAGACGAUUGGUUCUGCAAACGAAUCUAGGGGUCUUUAUCAGCUUUGUUCUCGUUCCACACAACAUGACUCCACUCCCUUUGCAGCCACCUCUUACAACUUACAGCCACAAGACAUCAACCUAUGGCAUUGUCGCCUAGGACAUAUAUCGAACAAUAGGACUCGUCUAUUAGUGAAAUGUAAUCUUUCUAUUCCUCUUUAAACAAUAGAACACUGCGCUGAAUGCCAGUUUUCCAGACUUAAGAAACUCCCUUUUCUGUCGAAUAAGAAUGUUCAUCACAAGCCUUUUGGGCUGAUUCAUACUGAUAUUUGGGGCCCUUUGCGUGUUGCUUCCCAUGAUGGUUUUUCUUAUUUCUUAACCAUUGUUGAUGAUCAUAGUAGAGCCGUUUGGACAUUUCUUAUGAAGCAUAAGUCAGAGGCUAGAUCACUGCUUCAAGGUUUCUGUCAAAUGGUGUCCAAACAGUUUAAUGCCAAUGUCUGCACCAUACGUAGUGACCAAGGGAGCGAGUUUCAUUUGAGAGAAUUCUAUUCUACUCAUGGAAUCGAGCAUCAAAUGUCCUGUGUAGAACGGCAGGAACAAAAUGGUCGCGUUGAGCGCAAGCAUCAGGACAUUUUGAACAUAGCCAGGGCACUUCGUUUCCAAGCUAGCCUUCCCCUCAAAUUUUGGAGUGAUUGUGUCCUCCAUGCUGUCCAUCUCCUCAACAGACUUCCCACUCAUCUCCUUGCCAAUAAAACUCCCUACGAGUGUCUCUAUGGACAAGCACCCACCUAUGACCACCUAAAGGUCUUUGGCUCCCUUUGCUAUGCUGCCACCCUAGGUAGGAACCGUGCUAAAUUUGACUCUCGUGCCCGCCAAGGGAUAUACUUAGGCCUAGUUCCUGGUAUUAAAGGUCACAAAAUUUAUGACCUUCAAUCACACUCUGUGUUUGUCUCACGUGAUGUCAUAUUUCAUGAAAGUAUUUUUCCAUUUAAGCCAACCUCUUCACCUAUUCAUGCAUCAUUACAUGAUCCUGCUGCACCAGUUCCGUUAAUCCUUGCAGGUACUGAUCCUGGAAUUGUAGCAUCUGGGGAGCCACCUGAUACACCAGAACCAGAGCUGCCACUUAUCCAGGAUCCACCAACACCUUCUUCACCCACCAUACACCUACCUUCAACUCCACCUGCAAGCCCCAGUCCACAACCACCAUCCUCACCAGCUACAAGCCCAAGCACACAACCUUCUCAGCCUCCCACUCCCUUGCCUUCCCCAGAACCAGCUCCACUGCCCACUAGGGUGUCCUCUAGACAAACCAAGGUUCCCACUCACCUGAAAGACUAUGUAGUUGGCACUACCAGGACCUCGCAUUACCCCAUUUCCUCCUUUACCACCCUAGACAAUCUCAGCCAAUCCCAUAAACGCUACGCCAUGAUCAUAGCCAAUACCCGGGAACCACAGACCUAUGAGGAAGCUGUGAAGGAUGAACGCUGGAAUAGUGCAGUGAUAGACGAGCUGCAUGCUCUAGAUGUCAACCUGACAUGGGACGUUGUUGAUAUCAAGGACUGUCCAAAGGGGAUCAACCCCGUUGAUAGCAAGUGGGUUUUCAAACUCAAGCUCAAAUCCAAUGGAGACAUUGAGAGAUUCAAAGCUAGACUCGUGGCAAAGGGAUUCACUCAGAUAUAUGGAGUGGACUUCCUAGACACUUUUUCACCAGUUGUGAAGAUGAACACGAUUAAGCUCUUGCUGGCAGUUGCCUCCAUAAAGAACUGGCACUUGGAGCAGAUGGACGUUAGUAACGCAUUCCUCCAUGGCGAUUUGGAUGAAGCCGUGUACAUGAAGCUACCAAAGGGACUCCACGAUAGGUAUGACCCUCAAAGCAAGGUAUGCAGGCUGAGAAAAUCCUUGUAUGGACUGAAGCAGGCAAGCCGCCAAUGGUUUGCCAAACUAACAGAAUCACUGUUGAGGUAUGGUUUUAUUCAGUCCCUCUCAGACUAUUCUCUGUUCACUAGAGCAGACCCUAGAGGGAGCGUCGUAAUGUUGGUAUAUGUAGACGAUCUCAUCUUAUCAGGAAGUAACAUGGAGUCGAUUAAUGAAGUAAAGGAAUUCCUUGGGAAAGAGUUCAAGGUUAGAGACCUGGGACCUUUGAAAUUCUUCCUAGGACUGGAAGUUGCAAGAAGUAAGGCUGGCAUUUCAGUUUGCCAGCACAAGUAUGCCAUAGACUUGCUCAGUGAUACAGGGCACCUCGAUUGCAAGCCAAUCAAGACACCAGUUGAUGUCAAAACACGUUUGAGUAAGGAUGAGAAGGAAUCACUGGUGGACAUCACUGACUACAGGAAAUUAAUUGGAAGGUUGAACUACCUGGUGACGACCAGACCUGACAUUGCAUACUCAGUCCAGCAACUAUGCCAAUUUCAGCAUGAACCUCGAAGCAGUCACCUUCAAGCAGCACAUCGAGUUCUGCGAUAUGUGAAAAACUCACCAGGUCAGGGCCUGUUCUUCAAUGCCUUAGACACCCUGAUCAUCAAGGGCUACAGUGACGCAGAUUGGGGUGCGUGUCCAGACACGAGAAGGUCCAUCACAGGCUACUGCACCUUCCUUGGCAGUUCGUUGAUUACUUGGAAGGCAAAGAAACAGAGCACGGUGUCCAAGUCCUCCUCAGAGGCAGAAUACAGAUCUCUCUCCCAGCUAUCAUGUGAGGUACAAUGGCUCAAGCAACUUCUUAAUGAUUUAUUCAUUCCACAUGAUAGUGUGAUUGAAGUGUUUUGUGAUAAUAAGUCAGCGAUUCACAUGGCGGAAAACCCAGUUUUUCAUGAACGCACCAAACAUAUCGAGAUAGACUGUCAUGUUAUUAGGGAGAGAGUUCAGAAUGGAUUGAUUGCCCUCAAGUACGUUUGUACGGAUAGGAACCUAGCGGACAUCUUCACGAAAGGACUCAGCCCUAAUCGUUUUCAAUGGAUUCUAUUCAAGCUGGGUGUAUACGAUAUAUACUCGCCAGCUUGUAGGGGGCUAUCAACGGAUAAGAGACCUCCGCUAGGUGACAGUGAGGAGGAUGAGCUGGAAACAUGACUCAGCACAUAUGGAUUAGGACAUAGUACAGAGUUAGUUAGCAUUCUUGUAAUAUAGUUAAGGAUUUUACAUUUCUGCCACUUUUGGCUUUGUAUAUACAGUGCAGUUGCACCAUUAAUGAAAACUAAGAAUCCUUCUACAUUCUUCACUGUUUCAUCCCUUCUCUCAAUCACCUCCGUUCACAUAAUCCAUGCUAAGUAUGGCAGGAAACCUGCAAAUGCAGCAGGUUCCGAGAGAUAUCGAAUAUCAGGAGCGGAUCUAAAACGAAAAUAUACAUGCAGAAUCUACCUAAUUUUGUAUCGGUUCAGUAGGGUUCAUGAAAGUGAAUUUGGAUGUCGGUCAAGUAGAAAAGUAGGGUGUUACGGAAUAUAAAAACCCGAAAUGGAAAGCAAUCAACAUUGAGAGAAAUCAGUAAGGAGCGAGGAUUCAGAGUUUAAAGAGUACCUCGGAGGAGAAGACUCGCUGCAGCAACUCUCCAAGCACUCGAUGAUGCAAUCCGGGUUAGGAUUGAAGAAGCAUGCCAUCUGCAAUUGAUAUCAGUAGACAUAAUGGAUCACGGGAUUCUCAGAUCUUAAACAGAGCCUUUUUAUGGUUUAAGAAGGGCGAAUAGGAUAUUGCGCUUACAGAGUAACGUUCUUGUCCAGUUGGCAUCACUCGAUGCAAAGUGGACCUGCGAAAUGGCAUGCUUCAACACUAGGGAACAACCAGAUAAUAAGGAUUGUUGUUCGAGUUUCUGAGAAAGGGAAGAAAGCGAGUUACCUGAACAAGCAAUUUGUCCACCUCUCUAUCAUGUCUCCAAUGUUAACGAUGAAGCACCUGUGAUCAGAAAUCCAUGAACGAAGUGACAGAGAGAGUUCGAGUAAGAACGCUGUAGCGCUUCAUAAAUGAUGAGGAACAACAUAUGAACGUAAAGUUUCCACAAAUCAGAUUACGAUUGAUGUAAGGCACAUGAUCUGCAGCAUCCAAAUUAUCUCGAGCAAGGUUAUAACAGUAGGGAACUAGAAGCAUCAGGUAAGGCAUGAACUACAUCACAUGAUCUGAAGCAUUCAAUUUACCUCACUUGACCCGACAUUUCUUAUUUUACAUAGAGAAGGGAUGAAAAAAUACUAAGAGACUUUCCACGAUACUGAAUGCAUAGGGUUUUAAGAGUGGACUCACCCGUCUAAGUGUGGCACAUCUUCCCAUACCCUAGGUUGCCUCGACUUCUCCCUACAGACCUGUUAGGGGGGAAUGGUAGUAAUUUGUGAACAUUACUUAACCGUCACAACAGUUCGAGAUUCGUUAAACUUGACGAAUUUAGCAACACAUGCCUGGAGUCCUGGCACCCCAUCAUCUAUUAGUAAUGUGAUCAUUCCAUAGUCUGAAUGUGCCGAAGCACCAUACCGCUCUUCAAUCUUCUGAAAGUGAUUUUCGUCCAAAUUCGAAGCCAGAGCAAUUAAGGAGAUCAAUCUUAUUCCAGCUGACCUGGAACAAUACACCAGCAGCGUUUUAUCAACUAACACGAUUCAAGCAGGAUGGUAAAGCAUAUUGGGUGGAAUUUCGAGUUUGAAAGUACGUGGGAUAAAUUCGGAAACAUACUCGAUUAAAAACAUCAAUUUUGAAAAUUUGUACAUGUGGCUUUGUAACUAACUUACGUCCCUAGGUGGUAGCUUAGGUUCGCUUUCCCCUGGUUCGGCCAUUAUUCCAGCGAAUUAUUCGCAUGCUAUUGGUUUAUGUAUGUACUGAUGAGUAUGAGAAUUUUGAUAGACAAGAGUUAGUUUGGCGAGUAAAAAAUUGAAUUGAAUUUUGAAUAUUUUCUUACCUAAAUAGAAAAAUUAAAUUACGGCAAAGUGAUUUUAGAAAGCAAACAAAUUUUUUUGCGUCGUCAUCUAAAUUUCAUCAAGUUUUUCACUGGUCAAACUAAGUUGAAACAGUGGAUUGUAAUCUAUGAGAUAUUAAAAACAUGAUAAUCUGAGGAGAUGAGAUUAUGGUUGUUCAACAAGGCCACAUAAUAUCCAAACCAAACAAAAUGUCAACUUGUGCCAGGUUGAUUAAUAUUAGUUUAGAUGAUUGUGAUAUUGUGACCAAAAUGAAAUAUAAUAAGAGCUUGCAAGAGUAAUCAAUUUGGCAAGUUGAUUGUUGUUUACAAGUUGCAACAUCAGCUUCUUAAAGAAACAAGACUUCUUCAUGUAGAGCUAAAGUCGUCAAAAUUCUUAACUUUAAACAUAAUAUAUAACAAUAAUAUAGUAGAUAAUAUCGUAUAUCCACCCUAGCAUUGGUAUCUCUCCUCUUGACUCUUUGUUUGAUAUCAUUAGACGGCCCAGAUCGUUUCUAUGACGGUGCAAAAUGAUGAUUUUUUCAUUUUUGUCAAACCUGUUGGUAUAUAUCCUGUUAAUUUUGACUGAGAAAUAGUCAUUUAAGGGUACAUGAGUAUACUAUAUGAGUAUAUGUGCACUACAAAUUGCAAAAUAUUUGCGCCGCCUGUUUCGAUCUACCUUCAUUUAUCUCUAUAUUGUCUGUCGAUUUCUAACAGUUUUAUCAAAUCUCGAAGAAGAUCUUCGCCGUCUGCAGGACAUUGAAGCAUAAUUAGGACCUGCGAAGUUUUAAGUUUUUAUUACAACGUCCAACUAACAUAGUCUCAUCAUUGAAAAAGACACUUGGAGAAAAUAUGCAAUCAGAAGAUACAAUCGUCACCAGAGAGCUAGAGAUGGACCUCAAGGAAUUAAUGUGAAAACUUGAACAAAAAGUUAUUACUAAUGUAUAAGAAGUGCGAGCUAAGGGGGGCAUCCCGGCGAGGGUGAUCAUGGGGCCAUCCACCACUCCAAGGGUUCAUCUGGCCAGUGGAUAGUGAGGUUAUGCAUAUCCAAAUCGGCGAGGGGAGCGAGAUCUGAAUUCACGUUAGCAAAGUUUGUGCAUCCUCUCAAGUCCAGCUUUAUACAACUCAUACCGUAGUAGUAGGGUAGAUCCGCCGCGAC